rnacentral:misc_RNA from 1 species
UCCGGUUUGUCACCGGCAGUCUCAUUAGAGUGCCCUUGCGUAGCAACUAAUGAUAAGGGUUGCGCUCGUUGCGGGACUUAACCCAACAUCUCACGACACGAGCUGACGACAGCCAUGCAGCACCUGUGUUCAGGUUCUCUUUCGAGCACGAAGCCAUCUCUGGCAACUUCCUGACAUGUCAAGGGUAGGUAAGGUUUUUCGCGUUGCAUGACAAGGAGCAAG